UCUGCCAAAAUUAUUUUCCCCUUUUUAUAUGGAAAAUUCUCACCUUUUGAAUAUAAAAACCUCUCCAUGUCCCAUCCGCAUAAGAAAAACACUAGUAACCUAGGACUCUAGGACUUAUUCCAUCAGACCGCCGAGAUCACGCAACUAUCAACAACGUCCAUGACAAUAUAUUCAGCUGCUGGCACAGAUGGACGCUAGAGUUCACAAGUUGACGUUGCAGCUAUCCGGACGUGGAGCUUUCAUCCGGACUUGGUAGGCCCUCAUGCUUUCGAGGAUGUCUACCGUUAUUAUCUAUCUUAGAUGUAGGCUUUGGCUAGUGGAGCAUGUUUCAUUAUAUUUAAUUUGCACUUUCUUUUCAGACUUUCUAUUGGUGCCGUUUUGGCAAAAAUAUGUUUAAUGCAAUUAUGAACUGUUUCUUUCAUUUGAUUAUCUCUAUAAUAGAUGGUUGAUUUGUGAACA